ACCCUAGAGUUCAACCUUCUACCCAAAAUAGCUGUGUCACAAAGACCAGAGUUUUCUUCGUCUUGUCCAGGCAAGUGAAUCUGGUAUAAAUAAAGACACCCGUGUCCGUCAUCUCCAUCUGUGAAAAGUCUUCAUCACCAUGAGGUGCCUUGUCCUGUUCGCGGUCGUCUGCUUCGUCCUUUUCAUUCAGGGACAAGGACAGCACGUGGACCCGGCCUCGUACCUGGUAUGGAAUGAGGUUUCUGAGAUCCUUACUAGUGCCACCGAACCCGUAACGAUCCCUUGGUGUAUAGCCAAGUGCGAUGCCGCCUUUGCACUCGAUUAUCUACCAUCUGAAAAACUGACAGACCGUGACUGUGCCUCAGAGUGCGAAUCGCAAAUUAAUGGCCCUGGUGACCUGCCUACAGCGAGGUGAGACCUGUGCCUACAGGAUGCAGACCAUGCAGUUAUUUAACCUGGUGAUGACUAUCCUGUUUGAUUAAAAAGUGGAAUUAAAAAACAGUUUCAUUUUGUUUGAUAA